GAAUCAUCUCUCCAACAUCUGUCACCCCAUUGAUUACCAGGGUUCAGCUGUCUGGCCAAGUAGGCAGAUGUUCCCUUCCUCCCUCAUGGUUCUAUGUAUGUCCCUCAGGAAGUUGCGAUGCUCAGUCCAAGAGGAUGACCUUCCCUGAAGAGAGAAGGAUGGUUCUUGGGCUGAGGCUCCCCUGCUAGAACCUCCAAACAAGCUCUCAAGCCUUGCUCACACUUCUAACACCACCACUUAUCUGGUUUCCCAGGCAACAGUGGACAUAGCUCCUCCCACAGGAAGUUUUAAGGAGUU
rnacentral:sRNA from 1 species